CAAUAGCGUAUAUUAAAGUUGUUGCAGUUAAAAAGCUCGUAGUUGGAUUUCUGGUUGAAGCGACCGGUCGGGCGUUGAUUCGUCUGCACUGGAGUCGGUUUUGGCCAUCCUCUAGGAAAGUGCGUCUGGUAUUAAGUUAUCGGGCGUAUGAUCCUGGUCUUUUACUGUGAAAAAAUUAGAGUGUUUAAAGCAGGCCUUCGCCUUGAAUACAUUAGCAUGGAAUAAUAAGAUAGGACUUUGGUCUAUUUUGUUGGUUUGCAGACCGAAGUAAUGAUUAAUAGGGAUAGUUGGGGGUAUUUAUAUUCCGAUGUCAGAGGUGAAAUUCUUAGAUUUUCGGAAGAUAGACUUAUGCGAAAGCAUUUACCAAGGAUGUUUNCAUUAA
rnacentral:rRNA from 1 species